ensembl:lncRNA
AAUUGAUUUUUUUUGUCAUGCAAAUGGAAUGUUGCCUACAGCUGGGAAAAACCCAACUUUCGGGAUAUUCUGGAAAAGUUUUUCUGACUUCUACAGCUUUUAAAAAUAAUUGGAAAGACAAUGUGACUACUUUUGGAAAAUCAGCUGCAGAUGUUCUUGUGAGACCCCGACUUUGUCAACAUACAACUUUGGCUACUGCCCUUGAUGAAACCAUCCUGGUGUGGGUUUGAUGAAAGCUUCUGGCUGCAAUAAUGGGCAAAACAGGUUUUCUUCUCUGCUUGGGUUCCUUCUGUUCAGGUCUCUGAGGAAAGACAUGCUGGGAAGAUGAGAAGGAAAGUUGUCUAUAUCAGAGGCCAGCUGAAAUGCAUGAAGCACUGCCUGGGGAUGGAAGAUGAGCUAGCUGAGAACUUAAUGUCUGUGUGUGUUCAUCCAUGAUUUCGCUUCAAAAUGGAAGUUCUUCAUGGAAUAGAUGAUUGUAUUGUUUUAUAAGGAGCUAGCACUAUGAUUGACAGCUGAAGAUUCUACAUAAAACACAGAAAGAAUGACCAAGGACAAAUUUCUGGUGGAGGGCUGAAGUCACAUACCAGUCAAGAAAGAGAUGGAGAAUGUUUAGCUCUGAACAUGUAUGAUACUGCAGAUAAAAGAGCGUAACUCUGGAAAUCAAAGUUCUUGGGAAUUCCUUGGGAGACUGCACGCAGUGUUGGGUACAGUUUAAGAG